rnacentral:rRNA from 1 species
AUGGCUCAGGAUGAACGCUGGCGGCGUGCCUAACACAUGCAAGUCGAACGGAGAUUAACGCUGAGGAGACUUCGGUCAAUCUUGUUAAAUCUUAGUGGCGGACGGGUGAGUAACGCGUGGGCAACCUGCCUCGUACUGGGGGAUAACAGUUGGAAACGACUGUUAAUACCGCAUAAGCGCACGGUAUCGCAUGAUACAGUGUGAAAAACUCCGGUGGUACGAGAUGGGCCCGCGUCAGAUUAGCCAGUUGGCGGGUAACGGCCCACCAAAGCGACGAUCUGUAGCCGGACUGAGAGGUCGGACGGCCACAUUGGGACUGAGACACGGCCCAAACUCCUACGGGAGGCAGCAGUGGGGGAUAUUGCACAAUGGGCGAAAGCCUGAUGCAGCGACGCCGCCGUGAGUGAAGAAGUAUUUCGGUAUGUAAAGCUCUAUCAGCAGGGAAGAAAGGCUCGUAAGAGAGAUGACGGUACCUGACUAAGAAGCCCCGGCUAACUACGUGCCAGCCGCCGC